rnacentral:rRNA from 1 species
ACGAACGCUGGCGGCGUGCUUAACACAUGCCAGUCGAACGGUAAGGCCCCUUCGGGGGUACACGAGUGGCGAACGGGUGAGUAACACGUGAGCAACCUGCCCUUGACUCUGGAAUAACAGUUGGAAACAGCUGCUAAUACUGGAUAUUCAUCGUCUCCUUCCUGGGGGGUGGUGGAAAGCUCCGGCGGUCAGGGAUGGGCUCGCGGCCUAUCAGCUUGUUGGUGAGGUAAUGGCUCACCAAGGCUUCGACGGGUAGCCGGCCUGAGAGGGCGACCGGCCACACUGGGACUGAGAUACGGCCCAGACUCCUACGGGAGGCAGCAGUGGGGAAUAUUGCACAAUGGGCGCAAGCCUGAUGCAGCAACGCCGCGUGCGGGAUGACGGCCUUCGGGUUGUAAACCGCUUUCAGUAGGGACGAAGGGUGACUGACGGUACCUACAGAAGAAGGACCGGCUAACUACGUG